AGCGAGGUGGGGCAGUCUGGAGUGCCCGUCGGGCUCAUAACCCGAAGGUCGAAGGUUCAAAUCCUUCUCUCGCUA
rnacentral:tRNA from 3 species